rnacentral:rRNA from 1 species
AUGGCGUCCAAAACCAAAAGCCGCUUUGUCGUCGGCUCUCAUGUCUGGAUCGAAGAUGCAGACGAGGCAUGGAUGGAUGGCCAGGUGGAGGAGGUCAACGGGGAGGACCUUGUCAUAAACUGCACCAACGGGAAGAAGGCCACCGUUAAUGUCUCGACCGCCUUUCCCAAGGACACGGAAUCCCCGCGUGGUGGUGUCGAGGAUAUGACCAGGCUCGCCUAUCUGCACGAGCCAGGAGUGCUCCAGAACCUCAAGUCCAGAUACGCCCUCAAUGAGAUAUACACUUACACUGGGAAUAUUUUGAUAGCUGUGAAUCCAUUCCAAAGACUCCCCCACCUCUAUAACAACCACAUGAUGGGAAUUUACAAAGGAGCAGAAUUCGGUGAGCUGAGUCCCCAUCCAUUUGCUAUCACCGACCGUGCGUAUAGACUUAUGAUCAACGAUCGUAUCAGCCAAGCAAUAUUAGUGAGUGGAGAGAGUGGAGCUGGUAAGACAGAAAGCACUAAAAGUCUUAUGCAGUAUCUUGCUUUUAUGGGUGGUAAAGCUAAAGCUGAAGGAAGGUCAGUGCAAGAACAAAUCCUAGAGUCCAACCCUGUUCUUGAGGCAUUCGGCAAUGCAAAAACAGUUAGGAAUAAUAAUUCAAGUCGGUUUGGCAAAUUUGUUGAGAUUCAGUUUGACCAGUACGGGAAGAUUUCAGGAGCCGCCAUAAGGACUUAUCUUCUGGAAAGGUCACGUGUCUGUCAAAUAUCUGACCCAGAAAGGAACUAUCACUGCUUUUACAUGCUGUGUGCUGCACCAGAAGAACGAGCGAAAUAUAAAUUGGGAGAGGCUAAAACAUUUCGCUAUCUCAACCAGUCUAAUUGCAUUGAACUUAAUGGGUUUGAUGACUCCAAAGAAUAUGUCGAAACCAGAAGAGCUAUGGGUAUUGUAGGUAUGAGUAAUGAGGAACAGGAUGCAAUAUUCAAAGUUGUAGCUGCUAUUCUUCAUUUGGGGAAUGUAGAAUUUGGAGAAGGAAAGGAAGAAGAUUCCUCUGCACCCAAAGAUGAGAAAUCUCAGUUCCAUCUUAAGACAGCAGCUGAGCUUUUCAUGUGCGAUGCAAAGGGUCUUGAGGAAUCUUUGUGCAAGCGUGUUAUGGCAACACGUGGAGAGAGUAUUACAAAAAAUUUAGAUGCAAAGGGUGCAGCUCUUAGCAGAGAUGCAUUGUCUAGGAUUGUUUACUCGCGCUUGUUUGAUUGGCUUGUAAAUAAAAUCAAUAGUUCCAUUGGCCAAGAUCCAGACUCAAAGAUUUUGAUUGGUGUGCUGGACAUAUAUGGUUUUGAAAGUUUCAAGACAAACAGCUUUGAGCAAUUUUGUAUCAAUCUAACUAAUGAGAAGCUCCAGCAACAUUUUAACCAGCAUGUUUUUAAGAUGGAACAAGAAGAAUAUACAAAAGAAGAAAUUGACUGGAGCUACAUCCAAUUUGUAGACAACCAGGAAAUUCUUGAUCUCAUUGAAAAGAAACCGGGUGGGAUAAUUGCUCUGUUGGAUGAGACAUGCAUGCUACGGAAUUCAACCCAUGAAACAUUUGCUGAGAAGCUAUAUCAGAAGUUCAAGGACAGCCCACAUUUCAGUAAACCCAAAUUUUCAAGAUCUGACUUCACCGUUCAUCAUUAUGCUGGACAUGUCACUUAUCAAACAGAUCUUUUCUUAGAUAAAAACAUAGAUUAUGCUGUAAAUGAACAUCAGAUCUUAUUAAAUGCUUCAACAUGUCCAUUUGUUUCAAGUCUUUUUCCACCUGUUGAAGAAUCAGCGAAGUCAACAAAGUUUACUUCGAUAGGCUCAAGUUUCAAGCAACAACUACAAUCUCUGUUAGAAACGUUGAGUGCAACAGAACCACACUACAUCCGCUGCAUAAAACCCAAUAAUGUUCUCAAGCCAGAGAUAUUUGAGAACAGUAAUGUUCUCCAGCAGCUUCGGUGUGGGGGUGUGUUAGAGGCAAUAAGGAUAAGCUGUCUAGGAUACCCCACUAGGCGAACCUUUUAUGAAUUUGUCAAUCGAUUUGGUAUUCUGCAUCCCAAAGCUCUGAGUAAAGGCAAUACUGAAAUUACUUCUACGAAGAUGAUUCUCGAGAAAGCUAACCUUGUAGGCUAUCAGAUAGGGAAAACAAAAGUGUUUCUUCGUGCUGGUCAAAUGGCUGAGUUAGAUGCUCUAAGAACUGAGGUUUUGGGACUCUCUGCUAAAAAACUACAAACCAAAGUUCGUUCGUUUAUGUCUCGCAAGAAGUAUGUCGAGAUGCGAACAUGUGCUACACAACUCCAGGCAGUAUGCAGGGGAACAACUGCUAGAAGGUUAUAUGAAAAUCUUCGAAGACAGGCAGCUGCUUUGAAAAUUCAGACCUAUCGCCGUAUGCGCCAUGAAAGAAUAAAAUAUAGAGAUCUGUGUUCUGCAUCAACUACUAUCCAAUGUGGUCUACGUGGUAUGGCUGCUCGCGGCAAACUGCGUUUUUGCCGACAAACAAAAGCUGCAGUGAUUAUUCAGAGUCGAUGCCGCUGUCAUUUAGCGCGCUCACGAUAUGUGAGGAUGACAAAGGCCAUACUCGUAACUCAGUGUGCUUGGAGAGGAAAAAUAGCUAGAAGAGAACUUCGACAGCUCAAAAUGGCUGCAAAGGAAACUGGUGCCCUACAGGCUGCCAAGAGUAAACUAGAGAAAGAAGUCGAGGAGCUUACUUGGCGGUUACAAGUGGAGAAGCGCAUCAGGUCUGAUUUGGAAGAAGCCAAGGAAGCGAAAAUUCAAGAAAAUAAGAAGCUCCAAUCACAAUUGCAGGAAUUGCAACAACAAUUCAAGGAAACAAAAGAAUUGUUAAAGAAGGAACAGGAAACUUCCAAGGUAGCAUCAGAGAAAGCAGAGAAAGUUACUCUAGUGCCAGAGAUCCGUGUUGAUGAAACUCAAGUUAAUGAGCUCACUGCCGAAAAAGAGAAGCUCACUGCUGAAAAUGAGAAGCUCAAGACACUGGUGAGCUCUCUUGAGACAAAAAUAGAGGAAACGGAAGAGAGGUUUCAAGAACAAGACCAAGUCAGAGAAGAGUCUAUGAAGAAAGCUACAGAGGCAGAGUCACAGCUAAAUCAACUAAAGAAUGCAUUUCUAAGCCUUCGAGAGAAGUUGGCUAGUGCAGAAGCAGAGAUCAUUAAUCUCCGACAACAUGCUGCGAGACCAAGACCUGAUCCUUUGCUUAACAUGCAUAAAAAAUCUAAUUUGAGUGUACCUGCAGACGAACAACAGUCACCACCCACACCUAUGGAAUUCGGACGGAGAUCUUUAAUUGAGAGACACCAAGAGAGUGUUGAAGCACUUAUAAACUGUGUUAACGAAAACAUUGGAUUUAGCGAUGGAAAACCAGUUGCUGCAAUAACGAUAUACAAAUGUCUUCUUCAUUGGAGAACUUUCGAGGCAGAAAAGACAAAUGUUUUUGAUCGGAUUAUUCAGAUUUUUGCUUCAGGAAUGCAGAAACAAGACAGCAACCCCGAUCUUGCAUACUGGCUAUCAAAUGCAUCAUCAUUGUUGAUUAUACUGCAAAAGAGUCUGAAACCUGCUGGCACUGUAACAACACCACUGAAAAGAACAACGACUCAGACGUCUUUCCUUGGGAGGAUGGUAUUUCGUGCGUCAAGCAUUACUGUUGAUAUGGAUCUCGUGCGCCAAGUUGAGGGCAAGUAUCCUGCAUUCCUUUUCAAGCAACAGCUUACAGCCUUUGUGGAAGGCUUAUAUGGAAUGAUCCGUGACAAUGUGAAGAGAGAAGUGUCUUCAGUACUCUCGCAUGUUAUUCAGGCGCCAAGAACUGCGAAGGCUGGUUUGCUAACAGAUCAACAUAGCUAUUGGAAAGUGAUAGUCGGCCAUUUCAAUGAUCUCCUGAAAAUCUUGCAAGAAAAUUGUGUCCCAACCAUUUUUUGUCGGAAGAUCUUUACACAGCUUUAUGCAUACAUCAACGCUCAACUCUUCAAUAGUCUUCUUGUACGGCGAGAGUGCUGUUCUUUCAGCAAUGGAGAAUAUGUGAAGCAAGGGCUUGAAGAACUGGAGACAUGGUGCACACAAGCCAAGCCAGAGUACGCAGGAUCUGCAUGGGAUGAACUUAAGCACAUAACCCAGGCUGUUGGCUUCCUGGUCAUUUUCAAAAAGUUCAGGGUAUCAUAUGAUGAAAUAAUGAGUGAUCUCUGCCCAGUAUUGAGUGUCCACCAACUUUACAGGAUAUGCACGCAGUACUGGGAUGACAAAUAUAAUACUGAAAGUGUAUCCGAAGAGGUCCUUAAUGAGAUGAAAACGUUGGUGAACGAGGGAGCUGGCUCGGGCGCCUAUUUACUAGAUGAAGAGACAAGCAUGCCGUUGUCUCUCGAGGAGAUAGGCAACUCCAUGGACACCAAGGAGUUCCAGAACGUGGUCCCGCCGCAAGAGCUCCUGGACAAUGCGUCGUUCCAGUUCUUGAAGAUCUGA